rnacentral:tRNA from 2 species
GCUCGAGUAGCUCAGCCUGGAUAGAGCGAAGCACUCCUAAUGCUUAGGUCGCAGGUUCAAAUCCUGUCUCGGGCG